rnacentral:pre_miRNA from 1 species
AAAACAUUCGGACCGUCGGUCUACCGAGUAAUAUCACCCGCUCGGUGGAAGAUCUUCCUUUCGUCGU